rnacentral:rRNA from 1 species
CCUACGGGAGGCAGCAGUGGGGAAUAUUGGACAAUGGGGGGAACCCUGAUCCAGCCAUGCCGCGUGUGUGAAGAAGGCCCUCGGGUUGUAAAGCACUUUCAGUGAGGAAGAACGCCUGGUGGUUAAUACCCAUCAGGAAAGACAUCACUCACAGAAGAAGCACCGGCUAACUCCGUGCCAGCAGCCGCGGUAAUACGGAGGGUGCGAGCGUUAAUCGGAAUUACUGGGCGUAAAGCGCGCGUAGGUGGCUUGAUAAGCCGGUUGUGAAAGCCCCGGGCUCAACCUGGGAACGGCAUCCGGAACUGGCAGGCUAGAGUGCAGGAGAGGAAGGUAGAAUUCCCGGUGUAGCGGUGAAAUGCGUAGAGAUCGGGAGGAAUACCAGUGGCGAAGGCGGCCUUCUGGACUGACACUGACACUGAGGUGCGAAAGCGUGGGUAGCAAACAGGAUUAGAUACCCUUGUAGUC